rfam:Ancylostoma ceylanicum strain HY135 Acey_s0039_scaf, whole genome shotgun sequence.
UUGGCGGAUAGGAACCAGGCAGUGCAUGUGUGUUACUUGGGCCGAAAACCGCCGAAAUAACCUAGAUGUUUUAAAGGUCGUAUGUGUCAUUUCAUGUGGCAUGUAUAUCACCGAAAUAUCGCACAGCU